GAUUCGAUGGAAAUUGCUCCGGUGGUCAUUCUGGAAGGCAUUGCUAGGAACGGAGUUGAUUUGUCAUAGUUGUGAGUUGAUAAUGAUCAUUACUNNNNNAUUUUAUGUUACUUAUUUUCUAUGUUAAAGCACUUAUAAAAUUGGGGAACACACCCUUUGAACAUUUUCUCGUCACUGUUAUAUAAUUUCAAAGUCAUCAAAGUUAACUAUACUCUAUUUGAAUUAUCCAUGACUUGUUGAGCAAAUGAAGUGAAAUUGAGGUUUUAUUGCAUAUACUAUGACGUGAGUUUUGAGAUAUGGAGAAAUGCAGUUCUACGAUAUUUGUUUUUGGAAAAUGUUAAUAUUAUUCAAUUGGAUUUGACUUUGCUUAUUGUUAUUAAAGCUGAAUAUUUUCCAUUUCAUUUGAAUUUUAUGUAUUUCGACAAAACUUUUAGAAAUGUGGUGAACAUGAUUUUAAGAGAUGCAUUUUAAGAAUUUCGGUUAUAAUGACGACGUCCUAGGUGCACCUAGUUAUAUAAUAUCGAGUAGAAAAGGGCUAUCCGUUAGAUGGAGCCGC
rnacentral:lncRNA from 1 species